GUGGGGGCUGGACCGUGGAGGGUCUGGGUGAGGCCGGGGGCUCCAGGUUGACUCCAGAUACCAUAUGCCACUCUGCCUCUUCUCCAUCUGGCAGCGUCAGCCCUCAAGGAAUUCAUCCUGGGGCCAAGGGCAGCCUUGGCCGUGCCCGUCCUCCACAGGCUGUCGGCUGGGUACAGGCUUCUCUGGCCAGAGAAGGGUCUUCUGGAGGAGGACCAGGCCCGGGGACACUGGGCACCAGGGAUGCCGAGGUUGGGGGGCUCCAUCCCUCUUUCUUGGCCAUCUGUGGUUUCCUGCCCCUGACCCCAUUAUCUACCCCCGUGCCCCACGAUUUCGCGGGUACACCCUGAUGCCUGCAGCCUGGUGAGGUCCUCGAAAAGGCCAGACCCAGUGUGUCUGGAGUGAGCAGGCACCGAGGACCCAGACACAAGGAGGGGAAGGCGGCGAGGGCCCCUGUAGACCCCCACCACUAGGGGAGUGUCCCCUGGGGUUGCUUCCCUGUUCUGAGCCUUUGUUUCCUCAUCAGUAGAAUGGGGAUCCUAGGAGGCAGUCACUUCCUACGAUCAUCGUGGGGAUCAAAUGAGGGAUACAUGCUUAGCUCAGUGCUCCGGGCCUUGUAAAUGCUCAAGAGUUGAAGGGUGUUCUGUUAUUAAGUCGUCGUCCCUCGGGCAGUGCCUUCGCCCUCGCCACAACCUGCCCGGGGACCCUUUGUGACUCAGCGCUGGCUCACAGCCCCUCCCCUUUCAGAGCCUUCCCCGGGGACCCCAGCCCAAACCCCUGCUGAAGGCACCUCAUGGAUGUGCUGAUGAGGAAGAAGAGCAAGGGAAGGAGGGUCGUCCCCUCGUGGCAUCCUGAUGGGGGGCGGUGCCCGAGUACCUACUGUGUCUUGGGCGGAAUGUUCUAGAAGUAUAACGCCACGAGAAAGACGAACUCGAGUAUGGCCGACAGAAAUCCAGGGGUUGCAGAGCACAGAUUGCCGGAAGUCUUGCACGACGCAUCGAGGGGCAGAGCCAGGACCCCCAAGGAUGCCCCAAACCCGGUACACCACCCUGCCAGGGACAAUGGGCCAGUCUCCUUUUGUGUUGCCGUGAAUAUAGCAUGGUUCUUUGAUGGUAAAAGGUGAUUGGUGCUACUUAUUUAACAAAAAUUCCAAGAAUUUGAUAAAUGACCAAGACAAAAGUCAAGAUGCCUGUAAUCCCGUCACGUGGAGACGGGUUUAUUUUGCUGAAAAUACUCUGCAGGCCUGUCUCCAGGCAUUUGAACCAAAGGCGAUAAAAGAGCUCGGAGCAGUGCCUGGGAGAUGGAUGCAGGACCCCCCCCCCCCUAGCAGUUUUGGGAGGAGGAAGGACAGGUCGCCACCAGGCAGUCUGUGCUGUGUCCCAGCUGCGCAGCAUCUGUACCCUGGGACUAGUGGGGUGGGAGGCCCACGGGGGGAGCUUCUGCCCCUCCUCCAGCACAGCUUUCUGCUGCUGGGCAGCCCAGCUAGGAAGCCUGUCCUUCCACCACUCAGAGCCUCGAGCCCCUCGUCUGUCAAAUGGGCUGAUACCCACAGUUUCUGUCUCAGAGGCAAGGGCAGUAGACCUAGGCAUUAGGAGAGGCCCAGCCAGCACUGGGCACAUAGUAAGAGUUUAGGAAACAAUCAGCCACUGGUGCACAGCCUCGCGCCCCCAGCCGCGUGUUCCCACUGGCCGCCAUGCUGUUUCAGGUCUGUCUGAUGCCUCCAGGUCCCAGGUCUGACCUUCAUUCAUAACCAACAGCUUCUGCUGGUAAGAUAAUCCUGAAAAACUGCAAAUCUGAUUCGAGCCUCUCUUUAUAUUAUACAAACUCAGAGAGGGUGACUAGGGGACUGGGGUCACACAGCCAGCAGCCAUGGCCCAAGUGUCCAGGAACGGAUCUCCUCCCCCACUUGGAGCAGGGCCUUCCAGGCUCAGGGAAGACCCUGGGGCCCCUCAUUACCUCAGCCCGGAAUACACGCGAAGUUUCUGAACUGGCCUGCUGGUAAGCAGCUUGUGUUUACGGCUGCUGCCCGGUCGCAGGCGCCGUUCUGAGGGGUCCCGUGGCUUCGCUUCUUCCGUGAUGAGCCCAGGGGUCCCCACUUGCCAUGUGGAGACAGUGUGUCCAGCCUUGGCAGCAACCCAGGCCGAUUUCCCUGAGGCAGAGCUCUGGCCACCUCGCUUUUCUAGGAGGGACAGGCGGCGCGUGGGACCCGAGAGGUGGGCCCCUCUACAGCCACC